CAUUUUUAUCGAUAGGUGAAAUACAUUUAUGAUGCUGUUGCCACGCAUGCCCAUGUGACUUCUUCCACCUGGCAUCGUCUUCUCCGUUCGCGUUGCAUUCGAAAUUCUGGGGCUGCGCAACCAGACAAAGGUUGCACGUAAAUGACCCAAGUUAUCAUAAAUAUGUCAAAAGUUGAAAAUUAAAUGUACAGCAUGCUGAGUCCGGAUCCUCGUGCCCCAAUCCUCGAACUCCCGCGCCCGCAUUCUUUAUUGAUAUUUUUGCACUUGUUUACAUUUUCUGAUUUAGAGCCAUUCGCUGCUGAUGGUCGUAAGAAGGACCACACGUGGCGCCAUCUUGUUUAUGAUAAGUGGAAUCCUGUUUGCGGACCGAGAUUCCGAUUGCUGUGUGGCAGCAAUGAUUGAAUGCGUGUUGUGGUUUAUGAGUCACAAGGCACUGAAGCAAUCCUUACCUUAAGCAGCCAAAGAAUGAAACUAUAAAAUGGAUGUUUUGUACGAAAUACUGUAUGAAAAGAUCUAUGUAUCUGAAAUAUAACUAUCUUCUUAACUACCUA